ACUGCUCAGUAACACGUGGACAACCUGCCCUUAGGUUGGGUAUAAACCCGGGAAACUGGGUAUAAUACCCGAUAGGUCUCGAUUGCUGGAAUGCAUCGAGAUUUAAAGCUCCGGCGCCUAAGGAUGGGUCUGCGGCCUAUCAGGUAGUAGUGGGUGUAGCGUACCUACUAGCCUACGACGGGUACGGGUUGUGAGAGCAAGAGCCCGGAGAUGGAUUCUGAGACACGAAUCCAGGCCCUACGGGGUGCAGCAGGCGCGAAAACUUUACAAUGCUGGCAACAGCGAUAAGGGAACCUCGAGUGCCAGGUUACAAAUCUGGCUGUCGAGAUGCCUAAAAAGCAUUUCAUAGCAAGGGCCGGGCAAGACCGGUGCCAGCCGCCGCGGUAACACCGGCGGCUCGAGUGGUAACCGUUAUUAUUGGGUCUAAAGGGUCUGUAGCCGGCCGGAUAAGUCUCUUGAGAAAUCUGGCAGCUUAACUGUCAGGCUUUCAGGAGAUACUGUCUGGCUCGAGGCCGGGAGAGGUGAGAGGUACUUCAGGGGUAGGGGUGAAAUCUUGUAAUCCUUGAAGGACCACCAGUGGCGAAGGCGUCUCACCAGAACGGACCUGACGGCAAGGGACGAAAGCUAGGGGCACGAACCGGAUUAGAUACCCGGGUAGUCCUAGCCGUAAACGAUACUCGCUAGGUGUCGGCCACGGUGCGACCGUUGUCGGUGCCGUAGGGAAGCCGCGAAGCGAGCCACCUGGGAAGUACGGCCGCAAGGCUGAAACUUAAAGGAAUUGGCGGGGGAGCAC
rnacentral:rRNA from 1 species